UUCCAUUUUCAUGAUUGAUUUUCAAUAAAUCUGAAAACCUUUUUUAUUUAGAAUGAAAAUUUUCCAAACGCAAACACACUGAAGCCUAAAAUAAAAAUAAAAAUUUGAUAAUUAACAUUUCAGGUUUUGAUCAGCAACAGUGAGCUGAAAAAAAGCUGUUGACUGUUUUGUGUGUCUUCAAAUGUAUUUUUAAAUUUUUUUGUAAAACUUAGAAAAACAAGGUUUAUAACUUUUAUUUCCGUCUUGCAUUAGCACCCACUGCUGAUUCAAUAUGUUUAUUGUCUUAGAUGUCACUAUUCUAACAGAAAGCUUUAAAAAGAUUGCUUUUAGAAAGUUGGCUGCGCAACUUCUGCAAAAAUAUAUUCAUAUCCAACUCUGUAACCACGUGCACGUCAACAUAAAGGACUUCCUGUUAGCUGCAUUUUUUUUUUUCAUAUUUAUAUUUACCCAGAACACAUGCAGACACUCGUGGACUUUUUGAAGAGUUAAGUUACCACCAAAAGAAAAAACAAACAAACUGGUGUUAAAAUAAAUUGUGAGCAUGCUCAGAUGUUCCAGACCAGAUAACUGUGGUCAGUUUCUGAUGAACAGUUCAGCUUGUAAAGAUGAGGGUGAACAUCCUGUUCUUUGUUCUGGCGCCUCACAUCGCUGCAGAUUUACCCCAUGAAGCCGUUAAAGAGACAAAGUCGAUCACUUUAUCUUGUGGUCACCCUGGGGGGGACAUCGUGACAUGGAGCGUGGAGAGAAAUGGGAUUAAAGAAGACAUACUUACAAAUGAUGGCUCCACAACCAUAAAACACAUUAAAGACCCCAAUAAAAUGUAUGAUGCACAACAUGAUAAGUCACUAUACAUAAUGAAUGUUGACGUCUCAGACUCUGGAAGAUACUUCUGUAACGAUGAAUCAGCUGUGGAGCUGACAGUGAUCCCAUCCGGAACAAGGACUCAGACCGUUAAAGAAGGAAAGGACACAACUAUAAAAUGCUUGAAUGCUUCUGAGGGAUAUAAACCGUCAUGGAGCAGAGAAACCACUGGAAAACCAGAACGCAUCAGGUCUGCUGUUCCUCCUGGGGGAGAAAAGUUGAAAAUCACACAAGUUCAGCUCUCUGACUUUGGACUGUACUUCUGUAAUGGAAAACCAGCCGUUUAUCUGAAAGUGACCCAAAACAACAAACAUCAAGGUGGUAUUUUGGAGAAGGGAAUCGCACGUGCGACACUCGCAGGCAACAGGAUGACCACCUCGAUGAUAACAGAGAUGACGACAAAAACAGUCACACAGAUAUCUGGGACCGCCUCCACGUCUGAAACAACAACAAACACAAGAACAGACGUACUUGACACAACCACACGCCAAGACAAGUACCUGUCUAUUAGCGUGAAAGUGAAAGUAGGAAUCCUCAUCCUCCUGACCAUCAUCAUCAUCAUCUACUUCGCCUGGAGAGGAAGAUCAGACAGACGAGGUGAAAGCCUUUAUUCACGACUCCCUUUUGAUUUAAACCAGGUUUGUAGUUUGUGAAGCUAAUUGCAGUUCCUUGUAGAUAAACGGUGUGACGUCAGUGAUGACGUGAACUAAGGAGAACAAAGUUCAGAAUGAAGAUCAGUUUAAUGCCUAAACAUUUAUGCCUGGAUAUGUAUUUA